AGUGUGACCUUCAGAAAUGUUAGAAUUGCAUAUGGGAUGUCAUGGUGUAUCUGUGAGAGUGUUCUACAAAGCAAGGACAAACUUCCAAGAAGUCGACUAUCAGCUACUCAGGUUAUCACAGCUGUUCAGAAUUGCCAGCAUAUAUAAAGAAGGGAGGGCAUGGUUUUAGAUAUUUAGAGUGCAACAAUAUCACUUCGAAACUUAGGUUAUUAAAGUAAGUGCAAACUGAAGGUUCUUCCAAAAACAAAAAACAAAACAAAACGAAAACAAAACAAACAACCUUUAGGAAUGUUGUUUCAUCAUGAGUUUCAUGGGUUUACAUGUUGUUCCGUUUUCAGCUUGAGUUUUCCUCAUUUCAGAGAAACAGUGUGAUUUUCCUGCCGUGGAAAAUGGAAGAAUUGCCCAAUAUUAUUAUACGUUUAAAAGCUAUUACUUCCCCAUGAGCAUAGACAAAAAACUAUCAUUCUUCUGUUUGGCUGGCUAUGCAACCGAAAGUGGGAAGCAAGAAGAGAAAAUCAGGUGUACAGCGGAAGGCUGGUCUCCAAAACCAAGGUGCUACAAAAAAUGCCUGAAGCCUGUCUUAAGGAAUGGCUAUGUCUCUGAUGGCAAAGUACUAUACAAAAUUCAAGAGAAUAUGCGUUACGGUUGCACUUCAGGAUACAAAACGACUGGGGGAAAGGAUGAAGAAGUGGUCCAGUGUCUUUCUGAAGGGUGGUCUUCUCAACCGUCCUGCAGGAAAGAACAAGAGACAUGUUUGGCCCCUGAGUUGCAUCAUGGGAAUUAUUCCACGAUACAGAG
rnacentral:lncRNA from 1 species